rnacentral:lncRNA from 1 species
CUCCCUCAGUUCUUGGUGGCGCCAAUGUAGAACCUGAGCCCGAUGCCAUCUCUUAACUUGCCGCCGCUUGAGGGAUGCUGCGCUUCCGUCCAUCGCCUCGGGGUGCGAUUUCCGGCGAGACUGCCGUGUCUGGAUUUCAUUCGCCACCGUUGGCAGAUUCCGAGAAUCGGCGAAGUCGCCACAGCUCUGGUUCAGUGCGUCGUCAUUCCCGAUUUAGAGCUGGCAGUAGUCUCCCCCCUCCAACCUAAAGCUAAGUUUUAAACUUGCUUCUUCUUCUUUUCAUUGCAAUGAAGUAUCGAUACACAUAGAGGCUUAUUCGAGCAAGAGAAGUCAGAGCUUAAUUGUUCUAAAAGUGAGCAUGUUGUGGUUGUAUUUGUUCGUCUAUCAGUAAUAGUGGUGAGUUAAAGUGUUCCCCAUAUUCUGUGUCUGUGGAGUCUAUUGUUGUUCAUCGAAUACAUGAAUCAGAUGUAACAUAUCUCUAUAUCCCUAGAGUAAAGGCAGUGUAGUCUGCUGUUGCUACAUAAACUUAUGUGAAUAACUAAUCAUGCUCAUCUCCGAUUAGCAGCAUUCAUUAAAAAAAUCAUGCUAUGAUGAUGCGUGAAGCAUGUACAUGGAGAUAGUGAACUGGGAUAACGUAUAAUACCUUGAGGAUAUGGAUGUGGUGGCUGUUUGCUGCUGUGUUGAAUUAAAUGCAGGGGAUGGAAAUUGAAAUAGAGUAAUCUUGGUAACUACCUUAAUGAAUGAAGGUGAAAUUGUGGCAGGGAGUAUUAAAGUUCAAGGUGAAGCUUACCUCGAAAUAGCUUGGUGUUGGUUAUAUUAUCUGCUGCUGUAGUUGACUGAUCUUAAUUGGGGGUAACUGAAACAUAACAGUGGUUAUUCUUGCAUUAAUGCAGGUGAAAUCUUGGAGGAGUUGAAGAGAGUUAAAGAAGUUUACCUCAUUGGCAGAGAUGGAUGAAUGAUUUCCUCUCUUCUUCACGUGAGCUGUUAGAGUAUAAUGGAGAAGGAGUGUUAGGAGGUUGUUUGCUGAAAUGAUAGGUAAAAAGGGUUGAAGGCUGGCUGGAGCUUGAGUACCUACUAAAUGGUAGGGUGGCUGAUGUGAGUCCUAUGUGUACCUUGGGUAUGGCUGUUGUGGCAGAGGUGGAGUGCUUACUGCUGUUGCAGUUGCUGCAGAAAAUGGGGAGGGGACGCAACUGAUCUUAUUCUCCCCUCUCCCUUUAUUACUCCUUCCGUCCACCAAAAAAACUCCCAGUUGGAGUUCGGCAUGGAGACUAAAAUAGCUGAAAAAGGUGGUGUAAAAGACUAAAAGGAUAGUGUUUAUGUAUUGUGAUUACUUUUACUAAUCUUCCACUAACUAUUUGAUAAUAAUAAUAAUAAUAACAACAAUAAUAAUAAUAAUAACAAUAACAAUAACAAUAAUAAUAAUAAGGAUAAUAAUAAUAAUAAUAAUAACAAUAAUAAUAACAAUAACAAUAACAAUAAUAAGAAUAAGAAUAAUAAUAAUAACAAUAAUAAUAAUAAUAAUAACAACAAUAAUAAUAAUAAUAAUAAUAAUAAUAAUAAUAAUAAUAAUAACAACAACAAAAACAACAACAAUAAUAAUAAUCAUAAUAAUAAUAACAAUAACAAUAUUAUAAUAAUAAUAAUAAUAAUAAUAAUAAUAAUAACAACAAUAAUAAGAAUAAUAAGAAUAAGAAUAACAAUAAUAAGGAUAAUAAUAAGGAUAACGAUAAUAAUAAUAAUAAUAAUAACAAUAAUAAUAAUAAUAACAAUAACAAUAAUAAUAAUAAUAAUAAUAGUCGUAAAAAUAAUAAUAAUAAUAAUAAUAAUAAUAAUAAUAAUAAUAACAACAACAAUAACAAUAACAAUAAGGAUAAUAACAAUAAUUAAUUAAAUGAGAUUUUAUUAAAAAAGAGAAGAAAAAACAGACCUAAAACCCUUGAGAACACAGAGGAGUUAACUAAGGGCCGAGCCUCAUUAAAACCCUUUUAAGGCAAACCCAAACGGGAAAAUCCUUAAAAGGGAAAAAGAGUGCUCGUCUAGAAAAGACUGCGAGGGAGCGGAGAAGAGACAGCUUCAGAAGUUCCGGCCUAACCAUCACCCCUAAGCCGCUCGGCUCCCAAACGCAGCGAAAGCAAACAAACAAAAACGAAAAAAACAACAAAAAAACCCAGCAAAAGAGACAGAAAAAACCACACCGUUCCUCCAAACGAAAAAAACCAACGAAGCCCAAGAGAACUGGCCUAUCAAAACACGAAAACAGAGGGCCACCCAAACCCAGCAGAACAAUCCAGCCGUUCUUCAAGCAAAACGAACUCGGACGCAGAGUACGGCGACCCCGGCCGCGAACACCUGCUCUCAUGCCCAUUCUAGAACGCUCCUUGCAACAAGGAAGUCCAACGACAAACCUAGGAGAAAGAAAGUGAUAGAACACCAAGACUACCGUUCAUCAACGACCCAAACAACGGAGCCAUAAAAACUCGACGCCGACGCAACAACAACAACGCCGCGGAGCUUCCCAGACGAACCAAAACUCACAGCCCCAGUUCCGAGCUCACCCGGAAGCUGAAAAAAGGCCCUGAUCUUGGUCCCUAACCAACACCAACGACAAUCCAGCAAAAAACCCGCACAAAGAAACCAAUAAGUAAUAGGAACCCAAAGCGCCGACCAGAUGUUUGUGAAAAAUCCAAGCUUGUCAAAACAUAAAAGAUGCGGUCCCUCCAAGCAAAGACGCCAUCCCAGGAGGGAAUCAGCAUGAUUAUCAAAAGAAAAGGGUGAUAGAACACCAUGGCUCCCGUUCAUCAACGACCCGAACAACAGGACCAAAAACUCAACGCCGACGCAUCUGCUAGCAACGUCGCGGAGCUUCCAAAACGAACCAAAACUCAUAGCCCCAGCUCCGAGCUCACCCGGAAACUGAAAAAAGGCUAAGAGAUUAGUCCCUAAACCCCCGCCCCUGUCAAACCAUCUCAUACCCGCACAGAACUCCCAUCUUCUAUCAAACAACCAGAACGCAUACCAGGUGUUUGUGAAAGAGUCCAGGCAGCCAACGAGCAAGUAUAGCUUCUGCCACAUCCAAAGCCCAAUCAUCCGCGAAUGCGUAUAUGGCUGUGAGUGGCCAUGUCCGUCCUGACCGCUUUUUUGAUGGCCUCGACCUCGUGCGGCCACCACCCCUCCAUCAUGUUUUGAUUGGCCAUAAUGUCCGCAGGUUUGUUGCCUUCACGAUAGAUAUGCGUAACUUGAAGAUUAAAAUUUUGUAACAGACCAAGAGUAUACUUCCAAGAAGCAAAAAAACGCCAAGGCACGUUAGAAGAUCGAGAAUUCAAAACUUAUGUGAAUAACUAAUCAUGCUCAUCUCCGAUUAGCAGCAUUCAUUAAAAAAAUCAUGCUAUGAUGAUGCGUGAAGCAUGUACAUGGAGAUAGUGAACUGGGAUAACGUAUAAUACCUUGAGGAUAUGGAUGUGGUGGCUGUUUGCUGCUGUGUUGAAUUAAAUGCAGGGGAUGGAAAUUGAAAUAGAGUAAUCUUGGUAACUACCUUAAUGAAUGAAGGUGAAAUUGUGGCAGGGAGUAUUAAAGUUCAAGGUGAAGCUUACCUCGAAAUAGCUUGGUGUUGGUUAUAUUAUCUGCUGCUGUAGUUGACUGAUCUUAAUUGGGGGUAACUGAAACAUAACAGUGGUUAUUCUUGCAUUAAUGCAGGUGAAAUCUUGGAGGAGUUGAAGAGAGUUAAAGAAGUUUACCUCAUUGGCAGAGAUGGAUGAAUGAUUUCCUCUCUUCUUCACGUGAGCUGUUAGAGUAUAAUGGAGAAGGAGUGUUAGGAGGUUGUUUGCUGAAAUGAUAGGUAAAAAGGGUUGAAGGCUGGCUGGAGCUUGAGUACCUACUAAAUGGUAGGGUGGCUGAUGUCGAGUCCCUAUGUGUACCUUGGGGUAUGGCUGUUGUGGCAGAGGUGGAGUGCUUACUGCUGUUGCAGUUGCUGCAGAAAAUGGGGAGGGGACGCAACUGAUCUUAUUCUCCCCUCUCCCUUUAUUACUCCUUCCGUCCACCAAAAAAACUCCCAGUUGGAGUUCGGCAUGGAGACUAAAAAUAGCUGAAAAAGGUGGUGUAAAAGACUAAAAGGAUAGUGUUUAUGUAUUGUGAUUACUUUUACUAAUCUUCCACUAACUAUUUGAUAAUAAUAAUAAUAAUAACAACAACAAUAAUAAUAAUAACAACAAUAAUAAUAAUAAUAACAAUAACAAUAACAAUAAUAAUAAUAAGGAUAAUAAUAAUAAUAAUAAUAACAAUAAUAAUAACAAUAACAAUAACAAUAAUAAGAAUAAGAAUAAUAAUAAUAACAAUAAUAAUAAUAAUAACAACAAUAAUAAUAAUAAUAAUAAUAAUAAUAACAACAACAACAAAAACAACAACAAUAAUAAUAAUCAUAAUAAUAAUAACAAUAACAAUAUUAUAAUAAUAAUAAUAAUAAUAAUAAUAAUAAUAACAACAAUAAUAAGAAUAAUAAGAAUAAGAAUAACAAUAAUAAGGAUAAUAAUAAGGAUAACAAUAAUAAUAAUAAUAAUAAUAAUAACAAUAAUAAUAAUAAUAACAAUAACAAUAAUAAUAAUAAUAAUAAUAGUCGUAAAAAUAAUAAUAAUAAUAAUAAUAAUAAUAAUAAUAAUAAUAAUAACAACAACAAUAACAAUAAGAAUAAUAACAAUAAUUAAUUAAAUGAGAUUUUAUUAAAAAAGAGAAGAAAAAACAGACCUAAAACCCUUGAGAACACAGAGGAGUUAACUAAGGGCCGAGCCUCAUUAAAACCCUUUUAAGGCAAACCCAAACGGGAAAAUCCUUAAAAGGGAAAAAGAGUGCUCGUCUAGAAAAGACUGCGAGGGAGCGGAGAAGAGACAGCUUCAGAAGUUCCGGCCUAACCAUCACCCCUAAGCCGCUCGGCUCCCAAACGCAGCGAAAGCAAACAAACAAAAACGAAAAAAACAACAAAAAACCCAGCAAAAGAGACAGAAAAAACCACACCGUUCCUCCAAACGAAAAAAACCAACGAAAGCUCAAGAGAACCGGCCUGGCGAAACACGAGAACAGAGGGCCACCCAAACCCAGCAGAACAUUCCAGCCGUUCUUCAAGCAAAACGAACUCGGACGCAGAGCACGGCGACCCCGGCCGCGAACACCUGCUCUCAUGCCCAUUCUAGAACGCCCCUUGCAACAAGGAAGUCCAACGACAAACCUAGGAGAAAGAAAGUGAUAGAACACCAAGACUACCGUUCAUCAACGACCCAAACAACGGAGCCAUAAAAACUCGACGCCGACGCAACAACAACAACGCCGCGGAGCUUCCCAGACGAACCAAAACUCACAGCCCCAGUUCCGAGCUCACCCGGAAGCUGAAAAAAGGCCCUGAUCUUGGUCCCUAAACAACACCAACGACAAUCCAGUAAAAAACCCGCACAAAAAAACCAAUAUGUAAUAGGAACCCAAAGCACCGACCAUAUAUUUGUGAAAAAGCCAAGUUUGCCAAAACAGAAAAGAUGCGGUCCCUCCAAACAAAGACGCCAUCCAAGGAGGGAAUCAGCAAGAUUAUCAACAGAAAAGGGUGAAAGAACACCAUGGCUCCCGUUCAUCAACGACCCGAACAACAGGACCAAAAACUCAACGCCGACGCAUCUGCUAGCAACGUCGCGGAGCUUCCAAAACGAACCAAAACUCAUAGCCCCAGCUCCGAGCGCACCCGGAAACUGAAAAAAGGCUAAGAGAUUAGUCCCUAAACCCCGCCCCUGUCAAACCAUCUCAUACCCGCACAGAACUCCCAUCUUCUAUCAAACACCCAGAACGCAUACCAAGGUGUUUGUGAAAGAGUCCAGGCAGCCAACGAGCAAGUAUAUCUUCUGCCACAUCCAAAGCCCAAUCAUCCGCGAAUGCGUAUAUGGCUGUGAGUGGCCAUGUCCGUCCUGACCGCUUUUUUGAUGGCCUCGACCUCGUGCGGCCACCACCCCUCCAUCAUGUUUUGAUUGGCCAUAAUGUCCGCAGGUUUGUUGCCUUCACGAUAGAUAUGCGUAACUUGAAGAUUAAAAUUUUGUAACAGACCAAGAGUAUACUUCCAAGAAGCAAAAAAACGCCAAGGCACGUUAGAAGAUCGAGAAUUCAAAACUUAUGUGAAUAACUAAUCAUGCUCAUCUCCGAUUAGCAGCAUUCAUUAAAAAAAUCAUGCUAUGAUGAUGCGUGAAGCAUGUACAUGGAGAUAGUGAACUGGGAUAACGUAUAAUACCUUGAGGAUAUGGAUGUGGUGGCUGUUUGCUGCUGUGUUGAAUUAAAUGCAGGGGAUGGAAAUUGAAAUAGAGUAAUCUUGGUAACUACCUUAAUGAAUGAAGGUGAAAUUGUGGCAGGGAGUAUUAAAGUUCAAGGUGAAGCUUACCUCGAAAUAGCUUGGUGUUGGUUAUAUUAUCUGCUGCUGUAGUUGACUGAUCUUAAUUGGGGGUAACUGAAACAUAACAGUGGUUAUUCUUGCAUUAAUGCAGGUGAAAUCUUGGAGGAGUUGAAGAGAGUUAAAGAAGUUUACCUCAUUGGCAGAGAUGGAUGAAUGAUUUCCUCUCUUCUUCACGUGAGCUGUUAGAGUAUAAUGGAGAAGGAGUGUUAGGAGGUUGUUUGCUGAAAUGAUAGGUAAAAAGGGUUGAAGGCUGGCUGGAGCUUGAGUACCUACUAAAUGGUAGGGUGGCUGAUGUGAGUCCUAUGUGUACCUUGGGUAUGGCUGUUGUGGCAGAGGUGGAGUGCUUACUGCUGUUGCAGUUGCUGCAGAAAAUGGGGAGGGGACGCAACUGAUCUUAUUCUCCCCUCUCCCUUUAUUACUCCUUCCGUCCACCAAAAAAACUCCCAGUUGGAGUUCGGCAUGGAGACUAAAAUAGCUGAAAAAGGUGGUGUAAAAGACUAAAAGGAUAGUGUUUAUGUAUUGUGAUUACUUUUACUAAUCUUCCACUAACUAUUUGAUAAUAAUAAUAAUAAUAACAACAACAAUAAUAAUAAUAACAACAAUAAUAAUAAUAAUAACAAUAACAAUAACAAUAAUA